rnacentral:lncRNA from 1 species
GUGUUGGGAGCAAUGCUACAUAAUUCUAGGGAUAAAUCAUUUGGUUAGCCUAGUUCUCUUGCCUACAGCCCAGCUACAGAAUAACUCCAGUUUGGCCUCCGGUCACAACUGAGACUUCAGUGAUCCAGUGAUGCUGUGAUUCUCCAGGACAAGAAACAUCCUGGGAGAACAAACAUCUGCUCAGUUCCUCAUUGUUCUUGGACUGAUUAACAUCUCGUUUACCGGAGAUGUACUGAACUCUCUGCAAGCCUUCCGUUACACCUUGUUUAUCCCAAUGUGAACUAUUGAACUCUCUGCAAGUCAUUUGUUACAUUUGUUUCUCCGGAUGUACUGAAUAAAAGGUGUGGUAAGCUGGGGGCUUUGUCUUUGCUGCCCAGAGCAGCACUCAUCAGAACCAAAGCUCAGCUUCUUCUCAGUCUCAUUUUUCUACCUUUCCUGUAAUUCGCUGUGUGCUGCCGUGGCUUGCAGGAGACCAGGACUAACUGCAGAGGUUCUGGUAAUGUCCCCUUCCCCUGUCCCCUACAUUUGGUGCCCAACGUGGAUGUGAAUCGGAUCCAGGGGUGAACUCACCUGUGAGACAAACUUGGAGUAAGAGAGACAGCACACGGAUCUCCCAGGACGAUUUCCGGACUAGGACGAGGGACACCAGUGGUAAGUGUGUCCAGCUGGGGGUAAUUUUCUAUCUUUGCUGAGUUAUAACUAUGGGUCAGUCUCUGUCCACAGAACAGCGUAACUUUGCCAAAUUACUUAAGUUGCUGUUAAAGCAAGCUGUGUACCCAGUACCUAAGGGUGCUGUGAAGAUUUGUUAAAAGACAUGCAAAUGUAUGUCCCAUCUUUUCCCCAGGAAGGGACAGCUUAACUUAAUAUCAUGAGAACGUGUAGGUACCGCUCUCUGUGAGGCCUGGCAAAGGGGUAAUUGCCUCUCCCCUGACCGCUCCCCACUUGGGCCUUAGUCCACUGAGGUCAGAGUUGCUAGCCAUUAUAUUUGUGAUUGAAAACUUCCCUCCCCAACCUCUUAAUAUUUUAAAUGAUUCCUCUUAUACAGUUUGGUUGACUCAAAGACUAAGGAGCAAUGGUCUACUCUACCUUAGAACCUAAAUUAUUAAACUUGUUUUUAAGAUUACAAAAGGCCAUAUGUCAAAAAAUUCCUCCUGCCUUAAUAACGUGGGGGAGAGGUUUCGCCUGUGCCCUAACAGAUAAUGAAAAAAAUCUUGUGGCUGCCCUCCUGGAAUGUGAGACCGUGGGUCACGCUGGUGGAACCGCCAACAUCUCACAGAAUCAAUGAUAGCACCCUGGCUGAAAGCGAUGAGCCAGCUGCACCUCAGGGACCCACCUCACCAGCGACAACCAACAAAUCCAUGGCAGGGUCCAGGACUGAGAUGAUGCCCCCAGAGGAAUGAUAAUUAUAGAUUUAUGGUAAAAAAUUUAUAAAGGUGGGGGACAACUUCAAAAUGCUCCUUUUAUAUUUACAGGUAUAAAAGCGCUUUCAUUCCUUCUGAUUAUAAUCUCGAGAUCUCUGUUAAUUGACUAUUCCAAAGUUUUUGACCAGUCAUACAAUUAUAAAUCUAAUAAUCAUAAAAAGGAUAUUACGAUUCAAUUUGGCUAAAUAUAUUUGCUUGCACUCUGAUUUUGUAAAUUGUCUUAUAUGUUUGUCUGUUGUCUGUUUGUCUGUUUGUACAGUUGAGCUCAAUUUUUUUUUUCUCUUUUUCUUUUCACCUUUUGAAAAAAAAAAUUUUUUUAAAGAUAUUCACCUAUUGUUAAAUUCGCUUACAGGUAAAUGUUACUAAAUUAAAGGCAUGCCUUCCUUCCCAGGUUGCUAACUGAUCAAAGUGCCACUGAGAUUUAUUUUAUAAAAGUAAUGUAUAUUGUCACCUACAUGCAAUAAUCAAAUUGCAAUAAGCAGUUGUAAAAUAGGAAGAUAUAUAUAUUCUUAUUCUUUGUUUGUCAAAAUAGAGACUGUGGGUACUCUCUUUGGUGAAUAAACAAGUGGCCACCCAGAAAAUAAUUAUUCUGGUCUUAAUUCACUAAAGGGACCCCCUAGUAAUUUUUAUAAUCUUAUGGGAGACACACCACAACAAAUAUUGUCUCAAUGUGUUAUUAUAAAUUGAUUACAUUGGUUAUCAUUGAAGUUUAAAUUCUAAAUAUGUUAUAAAUUGAUUACAUUGGUUAUCAUUGAUGUUUAAGCGCUAAAAAUGUGAUUGUAAAAUGUUUACAUUGGUUAUGUUCUGAAUAUGUUAUUGUAAUAUGUCCACAUUGGUCAUCUUCAAAAGCUUAAUUUCUGUGUCAUAAACAAGAGUGUUAUUAGAAAGAUGGUUUUGGUACCAAACCACAGUGAAGAAAAUAAGGUUUUAUGUAACUAUGAUAUUUAUUACUGCUCCUUUUCUGGUGUACAAAAUGUAUUCAUGCCCUCUAAUUGUAUGGGUCUUCUAACAUUGUUUAUGGUAAUAACCUUUUGAUUCAGGUAUUUGCCCUUUUCUUAUGCUCCAGCCACCUAUGAAAAUAGGCACACUUGUAGGUUGAUAUAUUUUCCUUAGAUGAUGUCCUAUAAAAAGAUAGCUACUCAGGGAUCCAACCACAACAGCAACUGUCAUUGGCAAUAAUAACAGUUUAACUAUAUUUUUAUUCCAAAAUGCUUAUCUCCAGGUAAAAUUAUAACAGUUGAGUUCACUACUCCUCUUACAAUGCUAAUGUUAUUGAUCUUCUCUUCUGGGUGUUCAACAACCAAAGUUUAGAGACCAAAACUGAAGAGGUAUUUGGGCUAAGAAGGCAGCCAAUAUUUUGGCCCUGGCCCUCCAAGGUCAACAACAAUAACAAAAAUAUCCAGGAUAUGAGGGAACCAUCUCUGAGAUCCUGCAUUUUUGGUGAGUCAUCCAACCUCCUGAGCAGGGAGGUUGCUGAACACCAAAACAGUAAAGAUCCAACAAAAAGUGUGCCAAAGGAAUGUCACCUGGAGGAAAAAAAUCUCCCAUGCUUUCGCAGGAAGCAACAUGGUCAAGCAAGGCCGUGACAUAUCCUGAUGGGUGACACUGACAGAGGAGCUAAGAGGCUCUAUGCGUGGUUCCAAGACAGUGCCUGUGGAGACUUAAUUGACCUUGUUAGAUAACAAGAGAUUGAUUUUAUUUAAUAUAGGUUUCACCGUAACUUGAUCUUAAACACCCAGUAGAAAAGUAUAACUAAAGACAAUAGUUAUUUGAGUUCAACGAAAGUUUUAAGUUUUUAAACCCAAUGUUUAAAAACAAAUUGUUAGAUUUUUUAAUCCUUUUUCAGCCCCAAUUAAGAAAAAUUAUGCUUAUUAUAGACAGCUGAGCCAGUCAAACUAUAAAUCCUCACACUACAUAGGGACAAGCCAUUGUUGGGUGUGCUUGCUUUUCAAUAAAACUCCUUCACAUAAAACAAAAAGAAAGGGAGAUAUGUUGGGAGCAAUGCUACAUAAUUCUAGGGAUAAAUCAUUUGGUUAGCCUAGUUCUCUUGCCUACAGCCCAGCUACAGAAUAAUUCCAGUUUGGCCUCUGGUCACAACUGAGACUUCAGUGAUCCAGUGAUGCUGUGAUUCUCCAGGACAAGAAACAUCCUGGGAGAACAAACAUCUGCUCAGUUCCUUAUUGUUCUUGGACUGAUUAACAUCUUGUUUACCGGAGAUGUACUGAACUCUCUGCAAGCCUUCCGUUACACCUUGUUUAUCCCAAUGUGAACUAUUGAACUCUCUGCAAGUCAUUUGUUACAUUUGUUUCUCCGGAUGUACUGAAUAAAAGGUGUGGUAAGCUGGGGGCUUUGUCUUUGCUGCCCAGAGCAGCACUCAUCAGAACCAAAGCUCAGCUUCUUCUCGGUCUCAUUUUUCUACCUUUCCUGUAAUUCGCUGUGUGCUGCCGUGGCUCGCAGGAGACCAGGACUAACUGCAGAGGUUCUGGUAAUGUCCCCUUCCCCUGUCCCCUACAAUUCUGAUUGCUCAACAUAUACCUCUUCUCUCAUUUUACAGCCCUGCUUAUGAUACUUGUUAUCAGCAGGAGACCCAAAGGCUGCACACCUUCCCUCCUUCCCAUUCUUGUAAUGAAUAAACACUGGACAUCUUUGGUGUUCUUUGUCUUUGCUGUUCAGAGAAGAUCAGAUCAGCCAAAGACCCAACUUCACUGAAGUCUCUGUCUCUGUGUCUUUAUUCUCUCUCUCUUUUCUAUCUCAUGGAUGUCAUACUGGCUCAUAGGAGAUCGAGACCCAUGGCUGGGGAUUUUGAUAAUCCCUCUUAUAGUUUCAGAUUUACUCCCAUGAUAGUAGAUAAAAUAUUCUAUUAUAGGAUGGCUACUGCACUUUUAAAUUACCUUUUGUUUCUAUCAUAGUGUAAGUCCAGGCUGUAUCUGUUUAAUUAAGCAUCAUGUCUACCAUAUUCCUGGGGACUGGUUAGGUGUAAGUACUUAUGCCUUAAUUAAAUGUGUUUGACACAGUCAAUAUGAAAUCUAACAAUGCUGAGAAAUUAAUUAUAAUAUCUACUCUAUUAAUUUAUUUAUGUUUUAAAGAUGUAACUAAGCUUUGGAAGACAUUCAAAUUUUUAAGAUUUAUAAGUCAGAUAUGAAGUUUCCUCUAAAUACAAAUACAAGAAAAUAGUUUAUAAGAAAUAUUAUUUGUUUUUUUUAACAAGUCUUAAUUAAUCUAAGCUUAUGUUUUCUAAAACAAGCCUUAUCCAAAGAAACAAAUGAGUGCCUUUUCUGCUUCAGAAUUUCUUUGUAAGAGAGGCUUAGGCUCAUUAAUCAAUUGUGAAGAAAAACUAGGCUGCUUUGAAACUUUGCUUUCAAAUUAAGCCCUUUUUAAAGGUCUUAUGUUAUAUAUUUCUGUUACUAUUGGCAUAAACUGAUAGAAGUUAUGGAAGGGCAUCCUAAAUAAAAAUGGAAAACCAAACAAAACAAAAAUAUUGGCAGUACACUAUUGUUUUAACUCUUGGGUAUAUAAAAUACAAGCAAUGGCAGAAUUAUGCCAUGAAGUGAGCAUAAUAUGCACCUUGUGGUUAGAAUUUCUGCAUUUUUAUAUGGCUAGAAGCAUAGUUAUUCAAAUAAUUCAAGUCUCAAUUAUUUUUUGAUAACAUAUGCAUGAACAUGUAUAAAAAUUCUACUCCAAUCAUAGACCCUGCUUUGUGCCCUUAUUUCUUACAAAAAGCCCAGGAAGAAGGUAAAAACAAGAGUGCUAUUGGACUUUAUAAAUGAUAAUUAGUAUCAUCUGUUCCUUAACAAUUAUGCAUUUUUGUGUUUAAAGGCUACUAUGAUUUAAUAAUAUUGAGGGCAGAAUUAAAUAUCUUUUAAAAACAUUUAGGUAUGCAAAUUUGAGGUAUGGCCAAGAGCUCGAACAGAUGUUUAAAAUUCUAGCUGAAUCUGUUUGUUCAUUCUAAAUAUGUGUACAUAAUGUAUUGUGUGUGUGCCAUUUUAUCAAGCAUAUUUGCAUGUAAAUGUAUGUAUGGCCCUGAUUCUGCCAUCUUUAAUCAUGCAAAACUACCAGUGGCUUCUGGUGGAAUUAGAGACAUAUCAGUUGGGGCACAAUUAGCCCACAGAGAAGAUCUUAAAAUAGCUAGAGCAACUGUGUCUGUAUUAGUUACUUUUGUCUUUGUUGAAACAAAACACUUGACACUCACAAGUAAAAGGAGAAAAGAUUUAUUUUAGCUCACAGUUUGUCAAGGUUUCAGCCCAUAAUUGCUUGGCUCCAAGGCAGAGGGGCAUCACAGAGGAGAAACAACUCAUGGUAUGGCAGACAGAGGCAGCAAGCAGGAUCAGCAGCAAGCCUGCCUUUCCUAUCUCACUUUAUAUUCCAUCCAGCAUACAAACCAUCCAGGGUAGGACUUGUAUUAUCUACACCCAUUAUCCCAGUAUUAUACCUUUAAUCCACAUUCUCACACCAUAAAUUCAGCUACCUGUGAAAAGCUCCACCUAUGAGUGCAUGAGGCUUUGGGGAAAUAUCUAGCCACAAGACAUACCAGUGUCUGCUGACAAUAGAUAUGCAGUUAUAAAGCAAUGCUUAUAGUCAAAGAUUGACAAGAACUUCAUAAGCCUAAACAGAAGAUUUAUAAGGGAACCUCUGAGGUAUGAUAUUAAUGUAAAAUUAAUAGAAACUUCAGUUCUUUCUGUUGAUUAGUGUCAUGUUAAUAUUUUCAACCUAUUUGUAUCUAUUUUUAGCAUAAAUUUCUCUUGUUCUUCUCUUGUUACAUAUACCUCAUACAUAUAACUCCCACACAUCUCUAUUAGUGAUUUACUUAAUACGAGGAACCCUGACUUAGAGUCCAUCAAAGUACUCAGAUAAUUUCUACUGACAUAGGUAUAUAGUGCUUAUAGAAAAUAAACUAAUGCAUUUUUAAGCUAUUUUUUCCUUAUAGUUCAACACAAUUUUUACUAUGGUAGGUUAAAUUUUUCUGAGUUUCAAUAAACAUUUUGAUGUUUAGUUAAUCUGUACUGUUUAGUAAAAAUUUUAAAGUGGAUCUCUCUUUAUUUGACAGAUUCAAUUGUUUAAUAAAAAUAACUUAGCAAUUUCUGUUUGCUGGAUAUUUUUAUUGAGGAACAUCUCAAUGUAUUUCACAAUAAAUCCCUUUCAUAUAUCUAUAUUAACAUCUAUAUAAAUGUUUUGAUUUUGUAUCUAUGGAGAACCUUGACUAAUAUAACAUUAAAGCAAUUCUUUCUCCUGAAGAUUAUUUAAAUAUAAAAAGCUCUACUAAAUGAAUAACUCUUUCACUAAGAUAAAAUCAACAAUAAAAUUAAACAGCAGGAAAAGGUACAAACACUGCAAGUAGAAACUUGUAAGCUUUGUCCAAAAUAAGUUCCCAAAGAAUGGUAUAUUCUUAAAUUUAUAUGUUAGAAGAUACAUUUGGAAUAUUUCCUACUUGUAUGUAAUAGUGGACUGCUAAGUGUGUGGAAAAUUCAUGAGACUUUUUAUUGAAAGUUACUAUUAAGAAUAAAUAUUUAAAAUUUCUACACUAGGAUAUUUAAAACAGGUUACAUAUUAUAUCUACUUACUCUGUCUAAAAAUCUGUGUAUAUUUUCCCAAAAUGUGUCAAUCUAACCUACACAGCUCUUAUCCUACUACAGUAUAAAAAGUUCAAAAACGAUGAAUAGAGAUAGUAUAGAAAGUACUUAAAGCAGACCAAUGGCUUCAUAAGACUCUUGAAAUUAUAUUGUGCACAUAGGAUAAGAAAUACUAUUUAUUGGGGCUGAGGAUUUAGCUCAGUGGUUUUGCCACCUGCUGCACAAGUGCAAGGACCCGAGUUCGAUCCCCAGUACCUGAAAAAAAAAAAAAAAAAAAGAAAUACUAUUCAUUUGGCAAAUCUUUUAGCGUAAGGAAGAGUAUGUUUGCAUUAAAAUCAAUGUUAAUUAAAAACACCUCUGAAGUGCUUCUAGGAGUCAUGUUUAAUAUUAUUUUAUUUCUGACAAUUGAAUAAUACAAUUACAUCUAAUAACAACAGUAUAAUAUAUUUAAUUUUAACUAACUAGUAGUAUACUACUGAAAUUUUUUGAGACUAAUUCUAUCACAGAUAUAUUAAGAGGCUAAAGUAGUACAAAACAGUUAUUUUGGUUAAGAAAAUUAUUUUCUCAUUCAUUCAUAUAGAUGAAAGAUUAAUAUGCCUAUCCAUCAUAGAAUUACACAAUGAUGUGAUAAUACUAGAGAAUAUAUUAUAAUGUAUAUUAUAUUGCAUACAUAAUAUAUAGUUAUAUAUAUACUAAAUAUCAUACUUGAGAAUAUAUGUAUGAUAGAUUUAUUUCUUAUAAAUAUAGUAUAGAAUAUAGAACAAACCUUUGCAUUCAGGCAUGUCAACUAUGUAUGUACUCCAUCUCUCUCAUAUGUCCAUAUAAAACAGCCUGGAUUAGACCAAAAGAGCAGUGAUCAUAUAGGUAGCUGGAGGCUUCUAAUAUUCCAAAGAUCAAUGGAGUUGAGCAAUGGUAAGUAUACUGUUAAGAAGUUGAAAUCUACACAGGAGCACAAAACAAAAGGUAAUACUUAUUCAAAUAGACUCAAUGCAAUUUAUUCAUCUUUUUAUGUGAAGAGUUUAUGAAAAAAUGACUCAUUUUCUUUUCCUUUUCCUAAAGAAGGAAAAAAUGAAAACAAAGCUUUUGUGAAUAAGGAGGGGAAGAAGGGAUAAAGGGAGGGUAAUGGAAUGGGAAAACAAAAAGUAUCAAGAUAUAUCAUGUACAGGUACAAAUUCCCUGUGAUAAAUGUAAUUUUUAUGUAUAUCUAAAAUGUACCAAUAAGCUUAAUUAAUAAAAAAUGGAAAAAUGACUUUGCCUAUUAUCUUUAGCAGAUACUAAACUAUCUAUUAUUCAGGUAAUUUAUACUAAAGUUAAUUUCACUUUCCCUGAGCUAUUUCAAAGGGCAACUACACUCUCCCUUUGGUGGAAACAGUUUUUGAAAAGCCAACCGUACAGUUAUACAAUAGAUAUCAUUUUGAACUUUUUGGAAUUUAGUUUUAAAACAGCACAAAAAACAACCAUAAAAGGGAAUAAUAAUGUAUUAGAUUUUAGAGGCAAAUAAAACAAGGUAGGGAGAAAAAAAGUUUUGAAAAGUAGUAUAUAAAGAGUCCACAUCAUGUGAGUUUAAACAAGAAGAAAAAUGCACAUUAUUCUUUUGUAUUUUGUGUCUAUAAUACAACAAAAUAUAAUUAACAAUUAAAAAUUGCAUUUGCUUCUCCAAAUUGUCAAUAUUCUAAAUCUGAUAUCUUUUUCAUCAAACAAUCUUUUUUUCACUUUCUUCUUUAUUCAAUAAAAAAUAGACUUUCCAAAACUCACUGUUACUUUUUGAUUUUUCUUAAGUGUGACUGGCCUGAAGGUGGCAUUGUUGGAGUAGAUCAACUCUUUGGUUGAUUCCUGAUGAGAUGUUGUUACAGUAAAUCAGCUGGUGUGAAGAUGGAAACGUUAUACUCUGGACUCUACUGGAGUUCAUCUCUGCUAUUUGUAUUUUCUUGCCAGGAUUUUCUAAACAAAAUUUUAUUUGCAUUGGAGAAUUGGCCAUUUUAUUUCCCAAAUAUUUGGAAUUAAGUGGCAUGGUCCUGGUUUUGGAUUUUCAUCAACCUUAAAUAAAAAUAUUUAUUAGUAUUAUUAGUAUAAGUAUCAAAACAUUUAUUAUUAAUUAAUUAAUUUAUUUAUUUAUUUUGGUUCCAGUGUUUGAACUUGGGUCCUUGUACUUGUGAGGCCGGUGGCGGAACCACUGAGCUAAAUACCCGGCCCCAAAAUAUUUAUUGGUACAUAUAUAUAUGCAUAUAUAUAUAUAUAUAUAUAUAUAUAUAUAUAGCAUUCAUCAUAGGGAAUUUCCUCCUGUACAUAAUACAUCCUACAUUUUUUCCCAUUCCCUCCUUCCCCUUAGACCUCCUCCCAUUUAUAUACAAAAAUUUUAUGUCCAUUUUUUCCUUCCAUUAAGUAAAAAUCUUGUGGCCCAUAAAUUGUUUCAUUUUUUAAUUGUGGUAAUCAAAGAUAUUAGCAUAUACCAGUUUCAGGCCUUCAGCAAUCUCUACUGUAAGUUAAUAUAUUUUACUCCUAUAUAAUGUGUCUAGGAUUCAUAUCUUUAGUGAUUGCUGCUCCAUUGGUCUUGUAGCAAACCCCAGCCAUGCAUUCUAUACACUCAUAUUUUUCAUUAUUUUGUUCAAAAGCUGAGUAAAAGGAUCAACUAGAACUCUUUUUGCUUUGAUGCAAUAUUUUCAGGGGCAUGUUCCUCAGCUGUCAUUCCUUUUCAGUUUGGUGUGCAUGGUUGCCUGUUUGUACCUUGAUCACCCUUCAGUCUUUCUUCCUCGACACUCCAGAGUCAAGGAAAUUCCAGGGAUCUGAUUUUAAGAAGAGUUCACUGGUUCAGCCUCCUUGGGUGACCCAGCCACUUCAGCUCCCUCUGUGCUACUCUUUUUUUAAAAUUAUUAUUAAUUUUAUUGGUACAAUUAAGGUAUAUUGCUGCUGUAAGAAAUGAGAACCCAGGUGAUCCUGAUAUAGGGGAAGAGAUGUAAUUUCCAAACCUCCUAGAUAUCCAAAACGUGAGUUCCUGUUCUCUAAAAUUGAAGAAUGAAUUCUAGGAACAAUGAAGUUUAAGAGUAGCAAAAAUGUAUUGGGAGAAAGAAAGCUUCUUCCUAAGAGAGAUAGAAGGGGGACUGAAAAGUGGGUUGCCUGCCCACCCCACUUUUCAAAGAUGUUUUAUGCAGUAAAGCCAUGCGGUGAGGUGGGUACGAAGUGGGACAAAACUAUAAGAUCCAAUGGAAAUUUACAAAGUGGGCAUUAGGUGGGACAAAAUCAUGACCAACCAAAAAGAUUGCAAGUACAGUCACCCAGGUAAUAUUGAUUAAAUGGGGAUCAAAUGGGAAGACAAGUCACAUAUAAGGAAUUUCCCAUUUAGAAUAUCAAUCACUGCUAUCUAUCCCCAGGGGAAGUAAUACUUCUUUUCCUUUUUAUAAUGCUAACCAGUGAAUAUGCCUCAAUUGUUCUCCAUGUUGGUUCCUUGCAGUGUUGGCUCCAGGAGGCCUGGUGCCUUAAGGGAGGCCCUGUCUGCCUGACAAUAAGAUAUCUAAUUAACUUACCUAUCUAUAAUAAUCCCACCCAGGGGCCACUUUAUGGACUUCAGCAGCUGUUCAGUGAAACAAUUAAUUUCAGCAUUACAGAGUUGUAUUAUUUCCCUAAAAUGGUGAUUACAUUCUUUUCUGGUUUUCAUUCAUUUGUUUGAUAGCUUCAAUGACAAAAAAGCAUCAUACAUCUCUUGUUGUACCAUAUUAAAGCCCAAAGUCUUACUGUAGCAAUACUAAAAAUCAUCUGUUUUUGCUCUUCAGUCAGAUUUUACAUCCUUGAAAUAAAUGUCAGAUAACUGUGCCCACAACCCAAGUAGAAUUUUAUUUGAAGUAGAUCCUAAAAAAUGUACACCUUUUAAAUUUCUUCUCAUCUACUUUAAAGGAAUAAGGCAUUUGUACAAAGUAAAAAUACUCUGAAUUGUUUAUCAUGUCCUGUAAGCAAGAAUAAGUCAGUAUAAAUCAAGUGAUAGCUAUGAAAUGUAUAUUUAUUCCAAAAGUUAUCUGGCAAGUAUUAUUGACAAAUAAAAAAAUUUAGCCAUAAAAAGGUAAAAUCACAUACCUCAAAGGGUACCAGUAAGCACUUCCCUUCUCACUUACCUCUACAAUGCCAAACUUGUAAGUGAAACUUAUGCUGUUUUGUUUGACACUAUGUUUUAAACCAUUUCAUUUGUAAAAACUAAAUUCCUAAAAUAUAUAGUAGGUAAGUCUAUACUCUAUUGGCUCAACAAAAAUUAAUUGGAGUUUUCUCUAUGAGCUCGGUAGUAUUCUAAGCAGUAAAGAGGCAUUAAGGAAUGAAAGGGAGAGAAUAUAAAUUUUUUUAAAUUUUAAUAUUUUUAUUAGUACAUGUUUGCAGUACAUGUAGAGCAAUAGAUGUAGAAAGCUGGUACUUGUUUUUUAUACCCUACCCUUCUUUUCCUUCCUUAAUCCUUCCAACACUUCCCCUUCCCAUUUGCAAAAGCUCUAAUUUCUCCUUUAAUUUUCCCAUUCUGUUUUUCUCUCCUCCAUCCAUCUCUUGCUCCACCAUCUACUGGGAAAUAUCUUUUAUCUUCUAUUUUUCUUUCUCUCUCUCUCUUAUAUACUUAUAUAGUAUGUAUAUAUGAGAAAUCAUUUGAUUUUUAACCUGGUUGUCUGACUUAUUUCACUUAAUAUUAUGAUUUCAGUAAAAUAACAGAAACAAACAAUUAGUAAAAUAAAAAGUAAGUUGACUCUGGACAUAUUUUCUAUAAAAAAGAAAGAAAGUAAAAUUGAUAUUUGAUUGAAUUCUAGCUAUUGUAUUGUCAGAAAAAGCUUCAGUGAAAAUAUGCAAAGUAGGAUAAAGUACAGGAGAAACUGUGGCUAUGUAUCAUGUUAAAUUGUGUUCCAAGAAACAAAUACCAUUGUUUUCUAGGAUAUAAUGGCCCCUAGGACAGUAAGCCUCAACUACAUUGAGAUACAUAAAAUGUUGAAAUACAAAAUUUAUUUUAUUGUCACAACAUGGGCUGUGAUUGCUUCAGGUAGUUACUAAGUAGAGGUUACUGUUCCAUAGGACAGGUCCCUACAAUAAAGAAUAAUCCAGCCAUAAUUAGUAAUGCUAAUAUUUAUAAUGACUGUUGUAAGAUGGUAAUUUAUCUUUUCUUUCAAACAUGGCAAGGAGGCUAGGGGGCUGGAUCACAAUGAGAUAGUCACAGACUGCCAGCUAUUGGAGCCAAUUUAAUAAGAUCACUGCAUGCUGUCACAAAAAUGGUGUUGGAUGAGAAGACUGGGUGACAAAGGGAAGAGGUUGUGACAAGUAUUGAGGAAAACAUGAUGUCCACUUGCAUCUGUGGCAUAAUAGUGGAGCAAUGAGCGGUGGUCCAAUCCUGAAUAUGUUGUGCCCAGAUUGCGUAGUCCCAAAGACCACCAGGAAGCCAAUCCCGAUGUAAGCACACGAGGGUCAUUUAUUCAAGCUCGAGCAGGGGCUCUCAACUGUCACCGACGCAGUGGGUCGAGAUUGAGAGCCCCAAAUUUCAAAUUAGCGGGACUUUUAUAGAGGUUACAGCAAGGUUUGGAGAUUUUCCACUUAGCAGUUACAUGAUUGGUUGACAAUUAGCAAGCAUGAAGUGUACAUUUCUGAUUGGCUAGGUGCAUCAGGGGUUGAGGGGUGGCUACAUGUAGGUUUUACAAGGGAAAAGAGGGACAAAGGUUAGUGGCCGACUGUCACGUACUGAUGGUCAGCAGACACACUGACUAAUAGUCACGACCAUUACGUGCUUACAGUCAGCACAUCUACAGAUUGUUCUAUAGAUAGAGGGCCCGGAACGUUCAUUUCCUGGGCAAACAGAUGGCUGAGUAAUUACCUCAGGAAUUUUGCUUCAUUACAGAUUGUAUCUUUUGUCCCAAAGUAAGCACAUUUUAACCAUUAAUUUGUGAGAGACUAGGGGAAUGGUGGAUUUUAGCAAAAUGGAGUCGCUUUGGUCUCACAAAUAUAUUUGAGGGUAAAAUAAAUACGACUUUCUGAGCUGAACUUGGGAGUGGGGAUGAGGCCAAAGGGACAGAGAAAAAGCCAGUAGCAAUUGAAAUAGACUUGCCAUUAACUGAGAGGAGAACACCUUCCAUCGGAUGUCCUUGCCUUUAGGAGCUGAGCUCUAUUGUAUUAGUUUUAAAAUAAGCAUAUUUAUGUAAAUAUAUUUGAAUAUCUAUGAUUGUCCCUAUAUUUCACAAGCUGUAAAACAUCCAAAAGGGGAAAUUCAAGGUUUGGAGAGAGUUUAGAUAUUUAAUUUAGGGUUAUUAGGCAGUAGUUGAGGAAAUUAGAAUUACCACACUGAAAGCUGUGGUAGAUUCAAAUUUGAGGGCUUGUUAUUUGGAAAAAGUAAACUAAUUAUUCAGAAGUGUUAAAACAGACUCAAAAAAAUGAGAAGAAAUUUGAGAUAGCAGAUUAUAUUUUAAAAUAAUGAAAAGAAAUUGAAGAAUAGGGGCUCUACAAUACUAAAACUGUUGGGUCUUUUUUUGUUAUUAGCUGUUCACGCUGAAUGUGAAAGGUUUUGUUUGGGGAAUAAUGAGAGAUAUUUGUCUCUUGGGAGAGAUAUGAGGUUCUUUGGAGUGUGUGUUUUUUUUGUGUGUGUGUUUUGUUUUGGCACCCAGGAUUGAACUUGGGUCCUUGCGCUUGCGCAGUAGGCGGCAAAACCACUGAACUAAAUCCCCAGCCCGAUAUGAGGUUCUUAAACACUAAACACCAUCAUUGCUAUUCACUGUUGUGUUCACAAGUCAUCAAUGCACCAUAAUAAAUUUUGUAACCAUCAAUGAAUAUAGAAAAUAGAACAAUUAUUUUGCACAAUAUUUUGUAACAAUAGGAUCUCUCAUUUGCAGACAUGAGUUGUAGUUUAAUCAAAUGAUUCAGGUUCAGUAAAGGCAUCUUUGUUUGAUUUUUAAUGAAUAUACAUAGCCAUUUUUUAGAAAUUUGCACAGGAGUAUGAUAAAUCUCACCCAAAUAGAAUAACUGCAGCAAUUCUUUUCCCAGGUGCUGUCCUGAAGAGGGUUACACCUUCUAGACACAGAAAUACCUGACAGAGCUCAUUUUGUUAUUUUUCUCCAGUCAGCAGUACUUAACAAUUUUGUUUAAAGAUAACUAUGAUCUGGAGAAUAUUGUACACUUUGUUCUCCAUUUUAAAAUGUGCAAAUAUGAUUUGCUAGUUUCUAGUUUUUGCAAUUAUUAACUUUUUCUUCAAUGAGAAAUGUAAUUACAGCUAAAUUCUGUAACACUUGUCAGGAAAUUUAAGAAUGCCUCCAGCAAUCUGAAACUACUUGAGCUGCAUUGAGCUAUUUUAGAAAAUAAAUUGAUACAAUUUUUGUGCAUUCCAGAGGUGUAUGACCUUAAGGGCAACUGGAAAUUUUAAGGGAGUACUUUGUUAUUCAGAAUGGAAGAGUACAUCAAAAAAUCAAUAGCUAAUAAUUACCAGUGAUGCUGUUUUGUUUUGUUUUAAUUACAUGAGUUUGUUAUAAAAUAUAUACAUAGAUUCAGAAAGUUGCUGGUUCCAUUAUUUUCAGGAUGAUAAUCAUUUCUUUUUGAGGACCUUGCUCUGUACCUAGUUUUCCUUCUUUAAAAAUCAGGACUAUAGUUGGCUGAUAAGGAAAGACUUUAGGCAUUUUUAUCAGUUUAUACGUUGGCAAGCCUGACUUUUGUGACAGGUAAAAGAGAUACCACCCUAAAUCCUGAUUCUCCUUGCACAAUUGGUUCAUCAUUUUGACAGGCAAAUCAACCCAAAAGGCAAGAAAUCUAUUUUUGGAUGUGGCAAGUUCCCUUAUUUCUUUUUCUUUUUCUUUCUUUCUUCCUUUUUUUUUUUUUUUUUUUUUUUUUGAUUGUGCAUAAAUUGUUAAAAAUGGUUGGAAACACAGACUAGAAACCUGUUUUAUGAUUUUGUACUAUUUGGGAAAGUCAGAAUAAUUCCUAUUACAUGGUGGGAAAUAAAGUGGGCCUAUUCCAUAUCAGAUUUCUCAUACAUGUCAAGCAUUCUCAGGAAAAACAAUUGUACAAUUAAGAUUUGAAAUCCUUUCCAGCAAAAAAAGCAAAAUCCUGAAGAAAAAUAGUGACUUAGUUAUUCAAAUUCUUCCUUAAAUAAAAAAUAUUUUUAAAAUAUAUUAAUUUGAAUAAGUUGUGUUAUCUCUCUGGACUCCAGUUUUCUCAUUUGUAAAAUAGAGAUAAUAAAAAUAGGCCCUAUCUAUGUUCCAGGGAAGAAGGUUUGAAUAGGAUACAUAACUUGGUGAUAGUCAUGAAAUCAGAAACUGUCUAAAUAGCCUUUAUGUCUAAUCUUUUAUGUCUUAACUCUUUACCUGUUUAUCAUAGUUGCAUAAUUGUAUUUUUAUUUUUAUAUCAUAUGGCCACUCUUCACUUAUUAGUUGAUAUUGUUUUGGGCAACACGUGAAUUUGUGGAUCUCUUCCUCCUUGAAAUGCUCAUUUCUCAUGGUUGGGUUCAGCAUCAUUCCCUCCUCUGAACUUUCCUCCUCCCCUAUUAUUGAUUGUUAUAAUGAAAGAUUCUCUUGUGAGAUGUUUACUUACUUUCUCUUAAUAUAUUAUUACUUGGCUAAUCUGUGAUUCCAUCCCUUUUUGGAUAUAAAAGCACAAUCACUACUUCUGUUCAGUUCUCUAAUCACAGUCCAUUUACUUCCCCUAAAUUCUAUAUAGACAGUAGUAUCCUAAAGAUUUCAAAUUGGCUCUCCCAGGCAUCUGGACUUAUUUUUUAUAGAAAACCUAUACUGUAACUACCUUCCCUGUAUCAAUGAUGAAUAUUAAUUUGUGCAAUCAAAUGUAGGAACUGGAGCAUUCCCAUUCCUAAAUCUUUCAUUACAACAAUUGUUUUGGUGAUUUGUUCCCUUUAGCACCUCAAAAUUAGUGCCUGUUUUAAGGACAAGGUAACAUGUAAGAGCAAUAGAAAUAUUUACAAUGGUAAUAGUUGACCCUUAUCAACACAAUGAGAUGAUAGUUUCUUGUUGUUUUCCAAAGCAAAAUGAAAUCCAGACUUUGACUUGGAAGAUGUUUGUUAACAGCUGGAAUAAUCAGUAACUCCGCAGAACCUGAGCCACACCAUCUGCUUUUCUUAGCUGUACAUACACCUUCUUUGUUUCUGAGCACAUUCUCAGAUGGGCCUCAUGACUAAACUUCUGCUUGCAAACAAGAAAGAUAAAAGCUUUUAGAGCUUGACCAGAAGGAGGUGAUAUAUGGAACCAAUCUUUGACCCAGGUCACUCAAGUCAAUUUUCUUUAUUAAUGAGAGUGUUACAGUCUAUGGAUCUCAAUACUUGUUAUUCAAAGAGAACUCUAAAGAACUUAUUCUGAAAAUGUGAAGAAAACUCACCCCUAAACACAAUUGCUACAAAACAGUGACUAGUAAAAUUAAUACUAUAUGAUUUUAUUUCAGGUAGCAGAAAUCAACUGAGAAUGGCUGCUGUGCUUUCAAUAUUAUGCAGCUGGUAUGUCAAGAGGGCAAAGAAGUAAUCUGCAAGUGAUACUAGCAAAGAUCAUCUAAUUGAUGAGAAGUUAAUUUUGAUGACUUACUCCAAAAAAGACUGUCCCCACUGCAGAGGACAGAAGAAAGGAACAUACCACAUGGGCAGAUGUGUAUCUUCUGUAAUAAAUACAUUCUAAGCACAUAAAAUCAGCCCAAAGAGAACAUCCCAAUGCUGCUGACAAAGAAAACUUUGGGGAUUAUGUAUAUCUCCUUUUCUUUUUUCUUUCUUUUCGUUAGGAUAAAUAUCUGUUAGGAAUUAAUGCAUUGGAAGAGGAAAAUAAGGUAAUCUGCCUACCAGUUCACCAGAUAUUCUUCUUCAAUAAGUCUUGUAUGCCAACUAUGGUUCCCCACUCAGAUUCCAGUUUGCAGCACUGGAAAGCAACAACAGCAGCAACACACUACUGGAAAGUUUAUUAGUAUACUCCAUUGUGAUUUGAGGAACUAUGCCUAAUUUAUCAUGAUAUUCUAAAAUCCAUCAUAAUACCUAAAAACAUUGGGUGUUUAAUGAAAUCUUUUUCAUCAAGACAGUAAUUAAAGAAUGGGAACCUAUUUUCAAAAAAAAUUCUAGCUUCUAUGCUAGUUAUAAAAUAGCACUAGUAAUCCAAAUAAGUAAGUGUUUGGAUUUAAUAAAUUCAGUCUGGAUCGAAUGUAACUAUAAUACUUACAUAUGAAUGAAAGAUCACCAUUGUGGUAGAUAUGCUAAAUACCACAGGCUGAUUGGUUAAAAAACAGAAUUCUAUACUUCUUAUCCUGGAGCCGGAAAAUCUGAGGCCCAAGUGCCAGCAGAAUCAGUUCCUGGACAAGGCUUUCUUCUUGGCUUGUAGGUGGUCAUCCUCUUGCUGUUUCCUCCCAUGGAGGAAAGAGAUAUCUGACAUCAUUUCUUCUUUUGAUAAGCCAUCAUGAUGGCUGCAUUGUCAUGAUCAUUUCUACACUUAAUGUCCUCUCAAUGACUGAUGCCCAAAUGGAAGCACACUAGGAAUCAGGCUACAACACAUGAAUUUUGGAGCAAACUUAAUUUCCUCUCUAGUACUCUCUAUAUUUAAAAUCUGCUUCAUAAACUUUCUGUCUGAAGACAUUUGUAUCUGUCUGCUAUAAGACUUUUACUUUAUAACCAUAUGAUCAAACAAAACUUAAAUAACAAAAAUAUAAGGUAUUCUAUGCUGGAUAAAAUUUUACAAUGUAUUCAAUUGUGAAGCAGGAAAGAAACGGAUGUGACAUUUUAAAUCCAAUAUAUACUAUGUUAAAGAAGCAUCAAAUCAUUUUUAAUAACAUACUCUCUUGCCAAAAAAGUAAAUAGUUUUAUCUCUUCUCUGAGAGUUCCACAUAAAGCAAAGUUGGUUAGAUAUCUUCAAAUAUGAUUUAAACCGUAAUUUUUGAUGUCAAUGAUAUUUGACAUGUUAAAUUGCAUAACAAUCAAAUCCAGCUUAUUUUUACAUUCAUGAGUAAUGACAUUUAUAGAAAAUAAAAGAAGUGACUAUUUUAUUGUAUUUUUUCCUUAGGUUUCAUAAAAAUUACUAGACAUCUGUAUCUACAUAAAACUGAGAAAUAUAGAUAUUUCAAAAUUUCAAAGGCUGAGACUUUAGUAUUCUUAUACCUCCAAAAUAUUCAUUUCAUCUCAGAUUGUAUACAUGCAAGAAAAGUGUGGCUUUGAAAAAAUGUAGGCAACCUACAUACAAAUAGAACUUCUAUAAAGAUUUAAAUUUUCCAUAAUCUUUAAUAUAUGUUCAGAGUGGUGUGAUUUUAAGUGUCAUUCAUACAUAGCUGUAUCUAGCAGUAGUUUUUUUUUGAAGAUUUGUAUUGUUACAUGUUUUAACUUGUUAAAAGAAUGUUUUUCUUCAAAAUCAAAUUAAAAUACGUUUGUAAGAGAUGAAUAUAACUGAAUUUCUAAUUCCUCAUAUGUUGUUUAGGUCACUUUGGAAAUAAAUAAUUGUCAUAUAGAUGCAGAAAAUAAAUUCAAAUCUGUGAUAAAUAAAUUAAAAAUAAAUUUAUCUGUAAUAAAGAGGAAUUUAAGUCAAUAAUUUGGCCCAAUGGCAGACUUUACAAUCUUUUCCACAAAAAGGGGAGAGAAGAUAUUUUGUUACUUUGGUAGUGAAUAUUAUUUUCUAUGCUUAAAACAAAAAUUAAUGUAAUAACUAAUAUCCUUAUUUUAAUUAUAAAUGUCAGGGUAAAAGACUUUUCUAAACAUCAUCCACAGAACAUGUGAAAGGAUAAAGUGUGAGUCAGACUUUUAUAUUUGUCUGACUAUAAUGUCAUUGCACUCUUUACCAUAUUGAUUUAAUGUGUUUGAUUCAAACAGGAUGGUGCAUGGCACAGCAUGUACUCCUGGGCACCCUGUUCAUUUCAGAGGACCCUACUGGUUCUCUGUGGAAGCACCUAAUUCCUAACCAACAGCCCAACAUCAGUCCUUAGUUAUACCAACUGUAGGAGAAAGAAACUAGUGCAAUGAAUAUACUCUUUCUGCUAUAUUACCUCUUUGUACUAAAUAUUAUAUUUCCUAAUAUUAACCACCAGGUUUUAAAAAGUUAUUUAUACUUCUUGGUUUCUUUUCUCAAGUUCAAAAAAUCUAUAAUUUGUACUAAAUUUGAGAUUCAAAUUCAUGGAUAUUAUGUUCUUAUCUCACUGGCUAAAGAUUAUCAAAUAAUUUACUGAAUUAUUAAUCUUCAUACGUGGCAAAUGGUGAGAUUUAUAUUUUAAAAACAUGAUUAAUAAACAUCUCGAUUUGUUUUAUAUUUCAUAACAAGGUGCAGUUGAUUCCUGCCACUCUUUAUGACAAAUGUAUAGUAACUUUCCUGGCAAAUCGGCAUCUUACUCAACAGGUGGUUAGUGGUCCAGAUUUCACACUUUUAAUGUAAGAAACUGGUUAAGCUGGUCUGUAUGAUUUUUGACUGUAUAAGGAAUAUUAAUUCUUAUUUAACUUAAUACAAGUUAGUAAUUACUGUCUCAAUAGCAGAAAAGUUAUAUUUUUUGUUUUGUUAUUAGAAUUUAGUACAAUGAUAUUGAAGUUUGGACAAUAUGAAUACAGCACAUGAAUUUGAAAAAGUAAUAUUACUAACCAUGUAAUACAUAAAAGUGGAACACAGUGAGGUCUUUUAAGAGCCUGACCUUUUUGAACUGGACUUGAAUGGUCCUAAUGUUCACAAGUUGCUGAUUUGGAGCCACACUGGGUUUAGCUCACAAAAGUGGUAUUUUGAAACAAAUUUGCCUUUAUACUCACAGUCAUACCCUUGGGAUAUGAAUCAUUUUCCAAGUAACAUUUCAACAUAAGGGAAGUGUUUAUCACAAGAUGAAAAACAAAAUAUUCAAUGAACACAAAGAUUCGGAGGACAUGCAUGAAAUCAUCAUUACAUUGCUAAUAGACAUGUUUUAUGGCUAUUCUUUUCUAUCAGUGCAAAAUAUAAAUAUAUAGAUGGGACUAAGUUAACAAAUGAGUAAGUUAAUUAUUUUAUUUCAGUUUAAGGCAAAUGAUGUAGCCAAACUGAUGAUUCAAAAAUGAAGAAAAUCAAAGAAUAAAAAACCCAAGUUGUGUAUGGUGCUGAGCAGAGAGAUUCCUAAUGAAUUUUUUGAGCUAUAUGAAGAUACAACUCCUAAAUUACAGGCUCUGCUUUUUGUCUAUCCUUAGUUGACUUGGCUAUUUUCUAAGUCAGUGCUCAAGGUCUUGUCAUAAAUAGAGUUAAACUUAGGCAACUAAAGUCUAAAGUUAGACAAUGCAAAAUUGUGGCAUUAUGGUAAAAUGCAAAUCACAUAGAGAAAAUGAGGAACUAGAAUAAUUUUGGUGGUUAUUUGUAUUUAUUUACUAAUGGGCUGAAAAAUAAAUGGAGAAUUCAUAGGCCUGUUUCUCUAAUUCUUGGGUCAACUAAAUAUUUUGCAAAUGGCAGAACCUCUAACAAUCUCAAAAUGUUCAUGUACAAGUUGAAAUUGAGCCAAUAAUCCCUAAGAUUCUAUCUAGUGCAAAAUUUUAUAAAGUUUUUCAAUUUUCAAAUAAUUCUUUGGAUUGAACUGAUGUUGAUUUUAAGGAUGUAUACAUGUUAUGGAAAUCUUCCCAAAAGAGUUGUAGACAUCAUAGCACAUUGAUAUAUGCAUAUCCAUGUUUACAGUGGCACAAUUCAUAAUAGCUAAAUCUCAGAAACAGCCUAAAUGUCCAUUAACGGAUGGAUAAAGAAAAUGUUGUGUUUAUACACAAUGAAGUACUACUCUGCCAAAAAGAAGAUAAAAUUGAGUCAUUUAUAGGUAAAUGUAUGCAACUCAAGAACAUAAUGCUAAGUGAAGUAAAUCAGAUGCCCGAACUUAGAUAUCACAUGGUCUCCCUUAUAUGAGAAUCUCAAUACAUAAAUAAAGUGCAAAGUGAGGAAUGGACAGUAGAAAAUAGUGAGCUGGAUCUGUGGUAUAUGAGAAGGAAACAGAAAGACAGUAUUUUGGGGACACUAAUUUUUAAAAAGGGAGAGGGGUUUGUGAAGAGCCGUGAGCAUGCACCAAGUCCCUUCAAGGGGAGGGAUCAUCAAAUAAUAUAUUUAUAUAUAUAUAUUAUAUAUAAAACAUAUAUUAUAUAUAAUAUAUUUAUAUAUAUUAUAUACAUAACAUAUAUAAUAUAUAUAUAACAUAUAUAUAUGUUACAUAUAUGUUCCAAGAGGUCCAGGGAGAGGGAGGGAAGCAAGGGAGAGGGUUAAAAAAGAAAUUAAGAAAUUUCAUAAAGGGCAGGGGAUUUAGCUCGGUGGUUCGGCUGCCUGCACUGCAAGCUCAAGGGUCUGAGUUUGAUCUCUGGUACCACAAAAAAGAAAAAAAGGAAAUUUUGUAAAUAUCAUGUAUGUGUACUACCUCCCCAUGAUGAAUGUAAUCAUGAUGUACUACAAAUAUAUACCAAGAAAAUUUUCUUUAAUUAGAGAAAGAAAGAAAAUCCUCACAAAAAAUGUUGAGGGAUCUCUGAAAUUAUAAACUAUGAGAUAAGCAGUAAUAUCUCUGUCUCCUUUAUUUAGAUAUUACUAAAAGGAAAAAAAGGUCAACACUAAGUUACAUUGUCCAGAAAGAAUGUUUUAAAUCUGAAAUGAUUUGAAAUCUUAAAUAGUCUAGAGAGAUGGACUAGAAAUAAACAAAAGAAAUGACUGAUUAUGAAAAAAACCCUAAUCUUGGGUCCAAAUAUCUUUUUAACUUAAAAUUUUACACAAAAAUUAUAUAUUGUUCUGGGGUGGAGAAAAGGAUCUCUUAAAAAAUUUUAUUAUUGGAGUAGAAAUAUUAAAAUGAAUACCAAUUUCUAAGUAUUUUUUGAAAGUGGACACAUGAUUACAUAUUUGGUGUGCAUUAGCUAUAUGUAUUUUGACUUCUUCAGUAAAGCAAUGUUUACAGGAAGUCUAGUUUGGACAUAUUUUUGAUAUAAUAUAUAUCAUAAAAUUGUUCUUUUAAAUAUCGGUACAUUUUAAAAAAUGUCAACGCCAGCUUUAUUAGCUGUUCUCUAUGAAAUAAUAUUCAAAUAUUUCAAGAAAAUAAGUUUAAACCCCCACCCGAUUCAGUAAAAUAAAGUUAAAUAUGAUAAGAACAGGUGUUUCAUUAGAAAUUUAGCCAGUGGUGCAUCUUAAGAUUCCCAAUGGCAAAAAUACACUGUCACAUAUUGACCCAUUGGUCAGUCCACGUUAUGCUAAGUUGUACUUGUUCCUGAACACAAUUCUUGCUCUUAUAUUAAGUAGGGAUGAAAAAAGAUUAUUUCUCUCGGUUUCUUUCCAAUAGGUAGAAUCCCAGAUACUAUUACAUUAGUGCCAUUUUACAGAGCCCGAAAAUUUGUACAGUGGAAUGCAUGACCCUCUUCUACAGCUAAGAUUGAAUUCUGAGUAUGUUUGGCAUUCUUUUUGAGCUGGACUUAACUGAACUGAGAAACUGGGUGAUGUGAUCACAGUAUCUCAGGGAUCUCUAAAAUAUACUGUAACUUAUUCAAAGCUAGGUUGAGUUUUCAUUUCUUCAUAACAUUCUCCACAUUUCACUGUGAACAUUUUCUUUGAUGGCUACACAUACGGAACAAUCUCUUUAUCUUUAAUAUAUGAGAGAUAUUUGAACAUUAAUGAUUUAUUGAAAAAUUAUAACCAUCAAUAAAUAUUAAAACCCAAUUGUAUGAAGAUUUUUGCAAGUGAUAUAGUCAGCUUCACCUGUCAGAUGAAGUCAAUGGGGCUAUAGUUAGGUGGCUUGAGGUCACAAGGUAGUAAGGCAGGGCUUGUAAAGUCAAAGCAGUCAGACUAGUGUGUUUCAUUGAUUUGAAUGCUAUAUUUCAGAUUGAAUUGAAAAUUUUAAACUUUUGUUCUCAUGCUUUUCCUUAUCAUUAUAAGUAUAUGCUUCAGGAUUUAAGGUGUGUUUUAUGUGCCUUGCACAAGAUUUUGAUCAACAGUGGACAACCUCUUAGCUACAUGUGCAUCAAUCCCCUCAGUGCUACAUAUAGGACAGCUCCAUUUUACUGCAUUAGCCAAAAUAUGUCUAAAAUUUUACAGUGAUCAAACCAUGGAAGUCUUUCCAUUUUUUUUUGUCUUAUCAGAUCCUUCCACUGCUUACUUUGACUAUGAAAAAAUGACAAGUUGGAGGAUGGUCUUGCUAUCCAGGGAUUCAAAUGUACUAUGUAUUUGAAGAGGCAAGAGUAGAGGUAAAUGAGAGAAAUAAAAAAAAAUAUUGGAAUAGUAUGGAAUAUGCUCCAGAAGAGUUUCUAUACCAAGUUACUCCACCUUUCCCCAUCACACUCUUGUCUUGUGUUUCUCAGAAGCAUUUAAUACUUCUGCCCAAGUUCUCCCAUAAGUUAUCAUAGCAUACUUAACCUCUGAGUUCAAAAGCUGCAGCCGAUGUUGCUCAGGAUGUGUUCUGCUUGUUCAAACAGUAUUUCCAUCCCCAUACUUGGAAAUACUUAGAGUCACACAGCUGUCUAUGUUUCUUGGCCUAUGAACCACCUUCCUAAAAUGAGUAUAUAAAUAAAAUUCUCAGGUGAGAUAAGUUAAUUAAACUAAACUAGAAUAGCCCAUCUCUUUCUGGCACCUUUAGUCAAGUAAACUGUCUAGAAGCAUCUGCCCAGUCCUGAUUGACCCAUCUGGAAAGAAUAGUUCUUGUUCUGUCACAGAGGUCUAAAAAAGAGACACAGGAAUGGGUAUUACAAACCUUCAGAUGUACCAACUGGCAUCAUUCUAUCGUAGGUAGGACUGCAGUUCCUCCCAUUUACCUUAUGAAUAAAAAAUGCAUAAUUUUAUUAUACUAAUUAAAAAAUGGUUUGCAGCUAAACCCAUUUCUGUAGAAAAUAUUACGCUGGAGGUGGUUCUUAAUGCUACCUUAUUGGUUAGGUCUAGUUUUUCUCUCUUUUAAGGUUUUCAAAGAACCCUGUGUAUGUGGUAAUUAUAUCCUUCACCAAAACUGUUGAAAUAAUGAACUGAUCUGAAUUUCUCUUAUUUGUAAAGGCUGUGUUAUAUUGAGGACUAGGUUUUAACACCAAGCCCCGCUCUGCUUGUCACAAAUCAGACCCCCUCAAACCACUAAGCUAUUUUUGAAAGGAAUUUAAAAAGAGUCAGUGUUAUAAAGUUUUGAUGUGGCUACUAUUUCUGAACAGUAUUUCCAAAAUCUGUGAUUAUUCUCUACUUCAGAGAGAAAAGGUCUACAUACAACCUUCAAAUUCUCUAAUGUUCAAAGGGGCAGACAGCGAGCUUCCUGCGUGAGCUAGUCCUUGAGUCGGCGUCCUGUGUUGGGCACAUCCAGACAUUUCCAUUCCAGUUCUGAUUGGGACAUGCCACCACGAAUGUUCAAUUAUUCCAGCAAUCUCAGUCUUGUUCUCCAGUUUGUCUUCUCUCCAGCUUGCUAAAUUCAGUACACUACAUUCUAAAAUUGAUUAUCAACAAUACAGGCAUAACUUUAUCUACAAGAGAUCUUUGUAUACCCUGUUCUCUGUCCUCUGAAAUUUUGCUCCAUUCUCCCACAUUUUUAUUGUCAUUGUUAAUGUCACUCAUUCUGGAAAUAUAAGAGAAAUUUUGUUAAGUAUGUAAUGUGUUCCAUGAGACUUUGUAUACCUCAGAUGUUUUUCUUUUUUUUGGAAGAAAAGGAGGCUUUUCAAUGAAGAUAUCGUCAUUGUAUUUUAAAGUGAAGUCUUUGACUGAAAUGGCAUGGAAGAGAUGCCUCCCUCAGCAAUAGUUUAGUCAAAUAAGCUGGGCCCAAGAAAAAAUAAUUAUUGGAUAAAGGAAAGUCACUAUAAAAUUAAUCUUUAAUGUGGAAACUAACUAAAAUUUUUUUCAUUAGCUCUGCUACUUUAAGUGUGUAGCAGUGAUGUAAUACAUGCAUACUUCUAUUGCCUUUUGCAAUUUAGCAAUAGAUAUACUGUGAAAGAUUGUCACAGAGUCCAAGGGGGCCCUCUGAACCCUUUCUAGUCAGACUUCCCUACUCAGCACCUUUCCAGUUUGUUAGAGUCCCAGCUCUUCUAGAACUGUGCAUGAUUACAAUAUUAAGUACAAUCAUAAUAUGGCUUUUAAUUUGUUUCAACUUAUUCAUUGCUUUCUGAGUAGCCCUCUUAUUAUCCCAAUGUCUAUGGCAUAUCCAUCAUCUAAGCCUACUGGAGCAUCAAUUUUAGACAGAAUAAACAUGCCUGAAAUUUUUAAAGUUUUUAAAGACAACAAUGUUUCUCAGGCUUAAAUUUAGAAAGAACUCUUUAUGGUUGCUAAUAUUUCAGGUACUAUGCAGACUGAAGCAGUCAUCAAAGCAAGCUAUGCAACUGCUAACAUAGGACAAGUAUGACUUAUGGAACUCAAUAAAAUUGCAAGUAUAUUCCCCUUCUCACUUUAAACAUUUCGUGGAGGAACAGAUCUUUUGCCUUCAAUGAAGUCUCUGCAGGCUUUGUGACUUUCCUUCCCAGUCCCAGAUCAAAAGAUGGGCCAGACGUAUUUCCUCUUUAGGUGUCAGGAUCAUUGGUAUAUCUGAAUGUUUGCUAAGUAAAAAAGAAUUUAGUAAUUUUAAAGUAUUAAGGAUUUCAGGAAUUACAGUCAGAGGGCACACACAUAUACUGUAUUUUUCUUUUUUCUUGACAAGUCUUCCUUUAUUUCACCAUUCUCCACCUAGUGAUGGCUUAAAUUUCUAUCUUCAUUUCAUUCUGUUCCUGAGCUCAUAUGCAUUUCUUCCUAUGAUCUUUUGUUUCUCUUAUUUCCUUGUAAAACUUACCCUUAAAUGUUUUAAAUGAGGCUGAAAGGUGAUUUGUCUGAGUGCAGGAGCACACAGGACAGGGUGAGUCAUAGGAGAGCAAAAAUAAAUUGACGAGUGUCUUAGAAAUAUAAAAACACAGAUCAGAAUUAAGAGACAAGCAAUAUGGAGCCAUUCUACAUUCCAAAGUAGAGAAGUGCUUAAUCUUAUUAGACAUUAAUCAGAAUCCAUAUUUGAGGACUUCAUUCUUGUGUUCUUAUGAAAAUUUCUUUUCAGUAAUGAUGUUAAAUUUCUAUUAAAACAAAGACUUUUCAGAACUAUAAAAAGUAUUUAAAAUAAAUCAGUCUUUUAUUAAUUUUCUAUGAAAUCUAGUAAAAUUUUAAAAAGAUGUUAUGAUAUGAAGUAAUUUUUAAAGGUAAAUGUAAUUCCCUGUUGAUGAUAAAACAUGUAAAUUAUGAGACCUACUUCUCCUUUUAUCUUACUGAUUUAAUUUUACAGAUCCAUUUAUUGCAUACAGAAAUAUUCACACACACAGAUUUGUGAAUCUAUUUCAUAUUGUAUUUGUAUUUUUCUUUACAAUAUCUUACCAGUGAUAACAUAUUCUUUUCUUAUAAUCUAUGAAAUUUCAAAAGAACUUAUUCCCACAUACUAAGAGAUUUUCUCCCAUUUUUUCUUUAUAUAAUUAAAAAUGUGUAUCUUUAUAUAUGUUCAAUAUAUCUUAUUUAAAAUACUUGAGAGUAAAAAUACUUUAGAUAUUUUUAGGUUUUGGAAUAUUUACCUAAACAUAUUGAGACACUUGCCUAUGGAUCCCACUGUUAACAUGAAAUUCUUUGAAAUUUCAUAUUUGCUUUAUACUCAUACUCUGAAGGUAAUCUUGCAUAAUACUUUUAGUGUACCUUUGUUUUGACUGCAAACCAUCACAUGAGGUCAUGUGGGAUUUUCUAUUUCUAAUAUGAUGUCAGCGCUCAAAAAUUUUGUAUUUUACAGGAUUUCAGAUUUCUGAUUUUCAAAUUGGGGAUGUUCAAACCUUACUACAUUAAAAGUUUUUUGACACCCUAUUAAGAAGUACUAUAUUGUUUUUCAUCUAUUUCAUGUUUUCUAAGUUUAGAAGACUGGCUGCCUUUUUACUUAAUCGAUUUACAUUAUUAUAAAGUACUUACACUUGAGAUAUACUGUAUAAUCUAAUAUAAACACUAUUGGGUACCAAUAUUUAAAUUUAGAAAUAAAUUUUCUAUAGAAAAGAAUUUAGCAAAGGAGACUGAAAGAUUGGCCAGGGAAAAAGGAAAGGGGGAUUCAAGUGAGAAAAAAAAAUAAGCAUGCACAUGUUUGAAAAAUGAGUGUUUUACUUCCAUCAAAGAUUAUUAAUAAAUCAAAUACCAUAAAGACACAAACUUGCCUAUUGAAUAGGGUAACAUGGAUGUCAAUGAUAAUCUUGAAAAGAGUGAAUUCAGCCUGUGAUUGGUUUGGGCAAGGAGAACGGUGGUUUUUGUUCAGAAGAGAAUGAGAUUGACUGUGUACUCCCUCUGAAAUCAGAACCCACUCACAUGAAGAGGGACCAGAAAACUAGCGUUAAGUAAUGAAUGUGUGGUAUACAGUGAGAGUUUUUAGAUAAUAUCAAGAUAUAAAACAUUCAGAUGCUGAUGCAAAUGUUCUAACAAAUUCUAAGGGGAAAAACUGAGGUCCAGUCAUUGUAGAAAAUUUAAUUUUGGCAAGAUGCACCAUUGUCUUUGUUUGCUUUUACAUUACUUAGUGAAGCAAACCAAGAAUAUUACCUAUGAAUAUGAAAAGAGGAAGUUGUGAUGGACAUGUAAACAGAUAAAUUGAAUAUAUUUCUCUGAAAAUAGGAGUGCAUUUAGACCAAAGAAAAUUAGAUUAUUCAUCUGUGUUGUUUAGCGAUUAAAUUGUGUUGAGAGAAGUCAAAAGGAUUUGCAUUCCACAUUCAACUCUUCUGGUACAGACAUUAAGAGGUGGAGGUGAAUUUCUUUAAAGGUAAAUGUGUGUGUGUGUGUGUGUGUGUGUGUGUGUGAAAGAGAGAGAGAGAAGAAAGUGUUUAUAAGAAAAUGAUUACUUUUAGAAGUCACAGAAUACUUGAAUAGGAGAAAUAUGGCGAUUUUAAGAAGAUUGGCAGUGAGAAAGUAUAAGCUCAGUGGGUUAGAACUCCUUGUAGAGACAGCUGACUUAUACAAAUGUGUUACUUGAAGAAAUUUUUGCAUUUCAUUAUUUUUAUUAACAUUUUAUCUAUAGCUCUUUGCACUCAUUUUCAAUAUAUACCCAUGUUAUCACAAUCCACUUCAUGUUACCAUUUUACUAUUUCAUUGGAUAAAGGAAGCAUGAACAGAAUAGUUACUGCUGUCCCAUGUUUUGUAUGUGGAGUUGCUGAUUUGCUGAGUUGCUGUGUUGAAGGGCUUGGUAAUUGGAAAAUGUGAAAUUGAUUAAAUUAUCUAAGGAAAAUUUUGAUUAUUUCUAAUGGUUUUGUGUUAAAUAUUUAAGAUUGAUUAUAGAUUUUUUUUAAUUCAAUGCUUAUAACUUGGAAAAUGUACUAUUAUGUUUCCCUAAUGAUUAACUGACUUCAUAACGGGAAUUCUGAUCACACUGGAUGACUAAGUGGCUAAAACAUUUGAAUUCUUAAGCAACACAGACUUGUUUUGAUUUAAUAGCCCUUAGCAGAAAAGAAAGGAGACCCUUGUAGGACAAUUUUUUUCAAAUAAUCUCAAGUAAUUUCCAUCUAUAAAAUGAUAUACUAAUAUAUGUAAAAUGAUUCACUCCAAAGCUCUAAUCUAAGACAUUUUUAAUGUGAAAAAUUAAAUUAUUUUUAAUAAAAUUUAAACCAUUAGUUUGCCUAGUGUGGAUACUGCCAUUUUCCUUGGGAAACUUGCCAUCAAUCUCGUAUUUGAGUAAGAGGAAGAGAGAGAGAUACAGAGAGAAGAGAGAGAGAGAGUGAGAGAGAGAGGGAGGGACAGGGACAGGGAGAGAGCAAGUGAAAAAAGGAGAAAGUAGGUUUUAUACCUUCUUUUCUUUCAAUCUCAGGCACUCUAAAAUUAUUUAUAUACAGCCGUUAUGUAUAGACACCAAAUCAUUUAUAGAUAACUUCUGAUUUAUGACUAUUAUUUUAUUACAAUACAAAUAUUAAAUAAGUUGAAAAACAAUACGCUACAAUUCUGUAACAUAAAGUAAUUCAAUUAGGUAGAAGUUAUAUCUAGAUUUGGAUAAUAUAAUUGAUUUGACAAAGGAAAUUUAGUCUUUAAAUAUACAAAUAUGUGCAUGCUUUUCAACUUUAAAAUGAAUCAUAUAUUGUUUGAUGAAAUAUAUUUAUAUAUAGUACAUAUAUGUCUAUGUAGAAGAUUAUUUUCUCACAUAGCACAUAAAACAAUGUGUGUGUAAAUUUAUAUGUUAACAUCCAGAUUCCUAUUUAAGGACAAACAAUUUAAGUAGCUGCUGUCCAAAUGAACAAAGUAUGUCUACAAACAACUUUACUUAAAGGCUACAUCUUAUCAUUAAUAUGAAGGUUAAAAAAGAUACAGUCCAAGAUGCCACUUACUUUUAUCUUUAAUUCUAGAAUCAUCUAUUUAGCAAAAUUAUUUCUGACAGUUGCUUCAAAUUUCAAACUCCGUACCCAAACUGCCAACACCUAACCUUUAGCUUCUUACUUUCUCAUAUGAUAUCAUGGAACUUACAGUUUCUACUCAGCCGUAGACCUACUCAUCUUGCUUAUCUGUGUUCAGGUGACUUUUUGCAUAAGAUCUAUCAGUAUGUUCAACUCUGGCUUUCCUAUGACAGCUUCAGAAUCAUGAUUAGGUGUCUCAUUUAUCUUUCUUGUCUCCUGAGUGCGCACUGUCUCUCUCUCUCUCUCUCUCUCUCUCUCUCUCUAUAUAUAUAUAUAUGUAGGAUGCAUUAGUUGAUAAUUUAUUCAUAUUCAAUAUAGGGAAUAUUUUACUUUACCUUUUACUUUACAUUUUAUUUAAAAAUUAUUUGUAAAAAUGACAUACUUAUUGUGCUGCUCAGGAGGCUCAUACUAACACAGCUACCUUCUGCAACAAAAUGAAGAAGUUAAAAAAAUCUUUCUGAGAUUCUGGGUUAGUACUCAUCUUAUAAAACAUUAAUUUUGGCUUUGAUUGAGAACAUUUAAUUUGUAGUCAUAUUUCAAAGUGGCUACCUUCUUGGAAAAGUUCCACUCAUUAUUCAAAAGCACUUAAAAGUAAAUUCCAAUGGGAAGCUGUCACUAUUUCCGUAAUACCGAGGUGCAUCUCACUUUGUGUUUUUGUGAUGCUUUGUAGCUGUGUCCUAUUUUGAUUGUCUCAUUCUCAUAACUGUUAACAUGUAUGUCACUUCCACUGUAUAUUAUUAACCUAUUUGGAAUAUUACAUUGCCUAUUGUUCUUGUUGACACUUGUGUCCUUGCCUUAAACAUUAAGAAAGAAAAGACCAUUAUUUCUUUCCAUAAGUCUUUCAUGAAAUUACAUUUUAAGAAGAAAAGAUGGUAUAUAUAUAUAUUUGUGUAAGAAGUUUUUAGCCAUAUAUGGAAAUUUAAAUAUUAAAUCAGGUCGAUAUGUAUAAUUGAAAUAUGACUAUCACUUACUUGCAACAAUCUCAUUGCUAUGAAAGUUUACAAAGAGAUUUUUGAGUAUUCAAAAAGAAGGCUUAAUAACAAUUGAAUAAUAUAAUGAAGCAGAAAUUAAAGACAAAGUAGAGAAUUGAAAGAAUAUAGGAUUAGUUGUCAAUGUAGUUCUUAAAUAGAAUUACAGGAGGCAAUAGUUUUGGACUGAUUUCCUUCACUAGACCACAAUAGACCAAAACAAAAUGGAGCUACUCAUGGUAAGCCACUCUGUGCUACCAAACUGAAACUAAAUUACUAACUUUCUGAGAAAACUAGAAGAAAAAGAAAAUGUAGUAUUGAUACACGAUGGGGUAUUGCUGAACAGUCGGAUAAACUUGAGUCAUUUUUAGGAAAAUGGAUGCAUGUUGAAAUUAUAAUGUGAAAUGAAAUAAAAUAUCACAUAUUUUCUCUUACAUGAGCAAUUCAAUAUAGGCAUAAAGUGAAAUGAAAGACAAUUAAUAGGAAAAAAGAGAGAGAAAAACUAUUUCUAUCUGGCAUGGACAAUAUAUCUAAAAGUGUACCUUAAUUUAAUAUAAUUAUCUUUUAUGUAUUUUAUAUGUUUUCUUCUAUUAGUCUUGUUAAUCUGCAUAUACAAUAAUUAACUUUAAAAUGGCUUAUAAGAUAAGUAAAUAAAUCUGAUACUGGCAAAAUAAAAGAGUGGAGGGGAGAGGAAAAUAAAAGAAUUGAGAUGUAUUGUGUAAAUUUCUUACAAAGAAUCCAAACAUUAUGUACUCUUAAUAUGUACUAAUAAGAAUUUAAAAUAAAAAAAUAAUAACCAGAUUUCUAAACAGCUCAGUUUAUCCUUCAUGAUAAGGUAAACCCUCCUUUAACAUUAAAAGGAAAGCAACCUGAAGUAAUAUGAAAUUGACCAAUGCACUUUUGUAUCACAGCUGUUCCUUUGUUUCUGCAAUUAUUACAGUUUAAUAACUGACUGUUCCUCCAUGCCCAGAUUAGCUGUUCCUAAAGAUUUAGAUGAAAUUCUUCUACCCAAAUUCAUGAAUUACCAAUAGAAACAAGUUAUAUUUUUAAACUAGAUUUGUGAUAAUUUUUGUCUCUUGGCAUAAUUAUACAUACAUAAAAUGGAUUGACUUUCAUUAUAAUAAUACAUGAAACAUUCAGAGGCUGCAAAGUAAUCUUUAUUAGAUAGUUUGGUUACUUUACAUCAUUUAUUAUUUGAUUCCCAAAUUGUUGUACUUGGCUCAGUUGGAACUUAUAUUUAAUUAUUUCUAUUUCAAAAUUUGGGGAUGAAAAUAAAAACGUUAAUGAGAAUAAAUAAAACAUGCUGUAGUUGUUAUUAACACGGAAAAUGUUUUAUUGGUAAUAUGUUUAAACUUUAUAAUAUGAAAGAUAUUUUAUAUUACAUAGCCUUUUAUAACACUCAGGAAUUUUCUGAGUGUUCCUAGGAAAAAUGGGAGAUAAAGAGGUGGCAAUUUUAAUUCAUUAUCAUUUUAUCCAAAAACUCAAGGCUUACUAGUAGACUUUUAAUAUGAAGAUGAUACACAUUUAUUUAAUAAUCAAGAGCUCACUAUUAGGGAAAUAAUAUAUAUAAAGGAAUAAAACGUAUCUUUUAAAUAGAGGCAACAGAAUUUAAUGUUAUGACAAUUAUAACAGAUAUAUGUUACUUGUGUAUCUUUGCUUUAUUUUAUUGUUCAUCAGGUGAUAUUUGUUCUUCAGGGAGUAAAAUCUACUAUUAGCAAUUAAGACCACUGGGUAAUACAUAAAAUAUAUAUUAUUUUUAAAAAAUUUAUAGACCUUUCUAAUUCAUCAUCUGCUCUCUAUGUGCAGUCCUAGAAGGCUUUGGUGGUUAGAAAGUAGUUGGAAACUGAUUCUUUAAGGACUUAAGGAGGAAGCAACUUCAGCUUUGAUAAGGAAUAAAUCUGCCAUAAAUUUCCAUAGAAUCAGACUGAAUUAAUGGUUUGAAUUCAAUGCCUCCAUAGUGAAUUCAUAUAAAUCUAAGGCUUUUAACAGUUGGAUAGGCAAACAUAAUUCACUGAUACACAAUCUUGUUAAUUUAUAGUAAUAUGGAAUAUUUUUAAAAUACAGAGAAAACAUUUAUAAUAAAACACAUAUUAUAAAAAUACUUAUAUUAUAAAAAUUCAAAUGCAUGUUAAAAAUGAAAGACCGAGGUAUUGUUCAGAAAAGUAGAAUAAAAGCCUUCAUUUCCUUCUUCCAAGAAAGGGACACAUGUGGCCAAAAAACAGAGGCUUCUUCUGAUCCCAGCUUCCUCACGAGCUGUGGUUCCACAGUGAGAGGAGCUGAGUUCCUCCUCUUCUUAUCCCACUGCCCUGUGCUGUGGAUCCUCUUGACCAGGGCACUGUGGUUGGGAAGUGUAUACUUUAGUUUUUCCACCAAAUCUCACAAAAUAGAUUUUAAAUCAAAAAUCUUGCUAAACAAGAAAGAUAUUUCUUAAUAAAAGUAUAUAUCAACCCUUCAAGAGGCUGAAAGUAUUCUAAAAUGUUAAAAUAGAACACAAAAAUGUGUGAAGCAAACACUUUUAGAGCUGAAGCAAGAAAAUGAAAUUGAAUAUUAACAGUUAAAGACAUCAGCGUACCACUGUCAGUAACGGAUGAGAAAAUGAGACAGAAGAUCAAGGAAAUAAAAGCUUUAUUCUAUAAAUAUGGGGCCUAAGACAUCUACAAAACACACUCAAUAGCACCAGAAUACUCUUCUUCUUGAACAUCCUCCAAGACCCUAUGAUAGAACAUAAUGGAAUACAAACAACAACAAAAAAUGUUGGUACUGGGGAUUGAACUCAGGGCCUUUUCCCAGAGCUUUGUACCCAGACCUCUUUAUUUUUAUUUUCUGUUUUAAGACUGGAUCUCACUAAGUUGCUAAGAUGGCAAGGUGGGGCUCAAACUUGGAAUCCCUUUGCCUCAGCAUACGAGAGUAGUGGGAUUACAGACAUGCACCCCACACUCCAGUAACAUAUAAAUCUUAAAUGACUGAAGUCUCAGUAAGUAUAUUUUCUCACAAAAAAUAAAUUAAAUAAAAAGAAGUAACAGAAGAACAUUUAAAAAAUUCUCAAGUAUGUAGAAAUUAAACACACUCUCAGAAAUAACCAGUGGGUCAAAGAAGAAAUGACAAAAUUUUAAAAAAUCAGAAGGAAAUAGAAAUGGUACUACCGCAUAUCAAAAUUUAUGGAAUACAGGAAAUUUGCCCCAGGAUGGCAAUUCAUACCUCUAAACGUCUAUAUUAAAAAGAAGACAGAUCUCAAAUCAAUAACCCAAGCAAGCAGAAAAAAAGAACAAAUGAGAAAAAAGCUAGCAGAGGAAGAAAAUAAUAAUAAUUUGAGGAGCAAUUGCUACUAUAAAGAACAGAAAAGCAAUACAGAAAUUAAAUAAAACCAAAAGUUGCAUCUUUGAAAAGAUGUACAAAUCGACAAUUUUUCAGUGAAAAUGACCAUGAAAACAAGAAAAGAGACACUAAUUACUAAAAUUAGGAAUAAAAGAUAGAUCCACCACUAUGCAACUUUACAAAGAUAUGAAAGAAUUCCAAACAAUAGUAUAAAUAACUUUAUGCCAGAAAAUUAAAUAAUUUAGAAAAAAAUAGAAAAUUUCCUUGAGAUCCAGCCUACCAGUACUGAGUCACAAAGAAAUUUUAAAAAUCCUAUAAAGCUAUAACAUUAUAGAAAUAAGACUAGCAUUUUGAAAACUUCCCAUACACAAAAGGCCCUGACCAAGAAGUCUUUGCUGUUAAUUUUUAUUGCAUACUAACUCCAAUCCUCAUAAACCCUUCUAGAAAAACAGAAGCAAAGAAAACCUUCCAUAUUCAUUCUAUUAGUUGACAUAACUUUGAACCAACACCAUAGAAUAUUCUAAAAACAAAAUACCCAAAAAACAAAUAAAUAAAAAGAAUAUCAAGGCCAAAAUAACAAAGCCAAACAUAAUUGCAGCUUGAUGUCCUUAGAAUUAAAAAAAUGAACUUCAACAAAUGUUAGUGAAUUUAAUUUAGGCACGUAUAAAAAGCAUUAAGUACCCAAAGUAAAUGCCAUUUAUCCAGAAAUGAAAACGUAUAUUAUAACCAUAAUAUGCAGAAAAACAUUAACAAAGUUAAUUAGUUUUUCAAGAAUAAAAAACAAACAAAAUUCAGCAAACUAAGGGAACUUGAAUAAAGGACUUCCUCAAAUAAGAGACAUUUUUGAAUACCCACGCAGUGUCUAAGCAAUGCCAUCCAUGAGUGCUGCAACAGGCUGGGCUAUUCAUUACCACUGAAAGCUCUAAAAGGUUUGCCAUCAUUGCGCCAGAGGUAAAGAUGACGUUUGAUUUCCCUAUAUUAUCAGUGUACUAAUGACGGACACCCACAUAUCUAGAAGCAAUUAUUUGAAAAGCAACCCAACUGUGUAAUCAUUAGUUGGCAAAGGUGAUGGAAAUGUUUGUUUAAGUAAACAUUCUGAUGAUGUUUAUCAGUAUUUCUAAGUGCAUCAUGGAGGAGACCUUGCCCACUUAUAUUCCUACUUUCUAAUUACAAGAAAAUUACAGAGCGAAUAAGUCCAUGAUCUAUGUUAAGUAAGAAAGAAUUAUAUUGAUCUUGUGUUAAGUGAAGAAAAAUGUAAAUACACUGGAUCAUAAAAUACACUAAAAUAGUUCUUGGUCAUCACUUUACCUGGAAUGGAGUUAUACAUUUUCAAAUCUAUUAAAUAUGUGGCAUAUUACAUUUAUGUUCUAAAACUGGGUAAAAUGUUUCUUAGCUUUUAUUUCAGAUAGAACUACCUUCCAUCUGCAAAUUUCCAGGAAUCUUGAAAUCUGUAGAAAGAAUAGAAGCUUUUCUAGCUUGCAUUCAGUAAAUCUUUCCCUGUAGGACAUCAUUUUUCAGUCUUCAAUCCCAUUGUAAUAUACUGUCUUCUGGUAAAAGUAUAUGUGUUUGCAUAAUAUUUAUCAAAUCUUAAAAUUGUCUCCUUUAAUUAAGUUUUCUUUUAUUGUGUAUAGUAAGACAUUCCAUGUGGCUUGUAUUUAAUGUCAGCUGUUCAUAAGGUAAACACAACAUAGUUUAUGUCUUAAAAAUUUCCAACACCAUUCUUUCCCAGAAAGUUUGAAAUGGAGUUUACUACCUGGUUAGGUCUUUCAAAAGAAACUCUAAAGCUAAGCUGCAAAACUCAAAACAACCACACGAACAAGUCUUCUUUAAAAAGUUUUCAGGUAAAUUUUACUAUUAUUUAUAACCAAGCUUUUUUUUUUUUUUUUUCAUUUUCAUGUCAGGUAGGGCAUCAGUUAUGAAACUAUUUUGUGAAAAAUUAUUAUAAUUUGUAAAAGUAUAGACAACUCAUUCCUUUUUGAUAAAAUUAAGUAGUAACAACUUUUAUUUCUACAAUUCAUAUAACAUCAAUUUAGACUCUCUAAAUGAAUGUACACAAAAUGACACCUUCUGUAAUGAAUUAAUUUAGACACUCUAGUUUCAAAGAAAAGGUGGGGCCAAAGUAUAUGGACUAUUGAAGUGAGGGACAUGUAAUGAUGAUGACUCUAUGUUUAAUAUUUAAGUCAUUUAUUUCAUACUGACGAGAUACUAGAGCCAUUUGUCUUAACUCCUGGCUUUUGAAGACAUGAAACACCUACUUUAAUUAGAGAAGCAAUAAACAUGUACAUAGAUAAAGAGACAUAAAUAUUAGUGAAAGAGUAGAUGUAAGUUCACGGAUAUAUUUAGAAAUAUGUUACACAUAUAGAUGAUAUAAAUAUGAAUAUCUGUAUAGAUUGAUAAAACAUAGAAAUAUUAUUAUAGAUAAUGUUGAGCAUAAAAAAAUCAACAUGUCAGUCUACAAAGCUAGGGAAACAUGGUGGCUCAGUCCAUUAUAUUGACAAUUUUCCUUUUAGAUAAUUUUUUCUUUCAUUGUGACAUUAAGUGUUGUCAGUAUAAAUAAGUUGCUAAAAAGAAUACUUCAAAUAUCACAAAAGUUCAAAUACUAAAAGUAUUAAUAAAAUAUGCAUUUGAUGUUGAUGUUGCAAAUUGUGCAGAAAGAUAUAUCUUUUCUCCCCUAAAGAAAUUUUGUGUAUUUUUAUUUUCAAUUAGUGUUUUUAUAGACUGUUUGUUUGCAUACAGUAUUGUUCUUCUGUCUAACUUCAAGCCAUAAAACCUUUAUGACCUUUAUGUUUUGAAUCCAACAAAAUAUGUAGUAUAUCAUUGCCAACAGCAAUACUUUUAUACUGAAAAACUACCUGAUAAAUUUAGUAAAAAAUGAUUUAAUUUAAAUAUCAAAAUCUCAUUACUUAAAACUUGAAAAUUAUUACAGUAUACUUAGUAAGUAGUAUUUAUAAAAUAUUUAGUUAUUAAUUAUAUUAGGCAACAUUUUAUGGAAGUAUGAAAAUUACAAAUUUGAGAAUUAAUAUUAACCUUUACUUCAGAUAAGCCUUAACAUUAAGUUCUGCAAAUAUACUAUUAGACAAGUCAUAGGCCAUUGCAAAAAAAAAAAAUGAGUGGAAAAGCCUGACCUUCACUUGCUUGCUUAUUAAUUUGGGAUCUCAGAUCCUUUUUGAUAGGUCUCCCACCACCUCAGCAGCUAUUAAGUAUAGUAGCUGCCCUCUUCCUAUGGUGCCUUGCCACCUCCCCUGUGUGACAUCAUGCCAAGAUGGUUGCUCCCACCAAAGAACAAACCCUUCUUCCCAGCAUGCCCCUGUUCCCACCUAGACAGUAACCUAAUACUCGCUCACCUCCUACCACCUAGUGACAUCACCGGCUCCUCCAUUCCCUAGUCACUACCUCACUCAACCCCGCCUCAGCCCCUACA